CAUUGCACUGUUAUUGAUCU
rnacentral:miRNA from 1 species